AACAACUAAGAUUAAAUUAAACGAAUAGCAGACACCAUUAACACACUUUCCCGCACGCUCUCACACACAAUCAAAAUAUAUGCAAAAUAAAAACAAGAUACAAAAAAUAAAUUAGAGCAGAUUUGAUCAUCACUUUUCAUCCAAUAUCAUCUCUGGCUAAACUAACAAAUUAAGGACAUGAAUGUCGGGGUAGCAAAAUCUGCUUCAAAGAAGAAAAAAAAAAAAGCAAAUUGGUUUGUCUUGACAAAUAAAAUUUUCAUGAAUCACGACAUUACUAAGAACACAUAACAGUUUUGCACUGCAUUAGAAAAGCGACCCACUACUGAUUGGGAUGAAAAGAUUUUGGGUGAGUGCAACAAUCAUUUUUGUAGAGAAAUAAAUGGCUAUAAAACUAGACGUUCUCACCACUUACGAGUUCAUGAUGAGUAUUCCACAAAGAUUUGACAUGUACAAAAAGCUAAGAAGCUGAAAGUACACUGCCGUGUCCAUUUUAAGACACAAUUAAUAAUAGCUCCUGUCCUUAAAACAAAAGGAUAUUUGAAGAUUUAUAAAUUAAAGAUGCUAAGAUAACAAAAUAAGUCUGUAAAAAACACAGUUUAACAACCAAUAAUAAAAGCAAGGAAUGAGUUCUGUACAAUAUCGGGAUAGUGCUGACACCAAAUCAAGAAGGUAACCAUUAUAAGACACAGAUCCGGAAAAUCUACAAUCUUAAAAGCAGAUGGAUAUGCAGACAGCCGGAAGUUUCCAAACUCAGAAUAGCCUUCUUUGAGGCUCUUUGGAACAGAAAGUCACAACACAAAUAAACGGCUAGGUGCUUAUAUAUUGGUUUUCCCCUUGUUUUAUUUUUAAGGGCAUCCCUAAUAAAUAUAUAUAAAUAUUAUAUCACGGGGAGAAGAGGGAACCACUAGGCUAUCCCAAAAUCAUCAUAAAGAUAGUAACCCACUAAAGAAAUAGACAUAUGACACAUUGACACUCAAUUGAAACUAUAACAAAGAUAACAAUUAACCAGAUAUGACACAUUCAGUUUCACUUAAACAAGAUGUAGGCAGAUAUAAAGCCUCACUAAAGUGAACUCUAACACUAACUGACACACAAAAGAAAUUUAUAAAGUAUAAUAAUUAGCUCAUUUUCAGAGCCAACAUGCUUAACUAUAUCUUACAUAUCAUUCUGCACCAAAGAUGAAAUAUAGAGAGUUAAUAUAUGAAAAUCAGUGAACAGAAUAAUUUUUCUUUCCUUAGAUGUGAAAAUAAAUAUUACAAAUUUCAAAAAUGACAAUCUUUUAUGUUGAUAUAUAACCACGCAUAUGUACAAAUCGAUACCUCUACAGGUAAUUGUAAUGUGAGAUUAGUGUAAAUUAAUAAUCUAAGAGACUAAGAUAAACUAAAUAGUAAUAAAAUUAAAUGAUUAAUACAAACUUCUUGCAUAGUUCUUGUUGCCACUUGCCAGUACUAAACAAUAUGUAAUAUAACUAUAUCAAAUUUAUAACAGAUUGUAUGCUGUCUGGUAAAUUUUUGUUGCCUCUCAGCGUGUUUUUUCCUCUUCCUAUCCAAGUAGCUAUAGUUAUUGGUCCACAAGUAUGAACAACAUUUGAAAGUCCUACAUACCAAUUUUUCAAAACAGUAUAUAAGGAUGAAUACGAACAGUUACAAAUAACAUUUAUUAAUUAAAGCUCCCACUUUUGAUUUAAAUACCCAAAAAUAUAACAAAUAAAUUUAAAUAUUGGGGUGGAAGGGCUCGAAAUCGAGAUCUCUCCCUGAACCUUGUUAAGUUACCAACAAACUCAAAUUCUAGGAAUAGAUAAUAAUCAAUUGAUUCAACAAAUCCCCUUUUCUAUUUCACAACCCAGCAGAAAAGAUAACAACAAAUCAGAGCAACUAAUUAACUUAAAGUAACAUAAAACUUAAGAACCGAGGUCAUAAAUUUGAUGGCAGAAGCAACUAAUAAGUUGAUCAAAGCUAACUAAACAAAAGCAAUUAAAACUAAACAAAGUAGCUACUAUGUUAAGUAGAUGAUUGAGAACUCUAACACUACACAUGCAAAUGAUUGAGAAAAACAUAUUUUGUGGACUCGGUUACUUCACCUUAUCAAGAACUGGAAAGAAGCACAUGAGUGAAUCAAGAGCACGUCCAGGAGUGAUGAGAGCCUUUGGCAAAAUAGCAGCACCUUAUAUCUUAUAUGAUUCAGAGAGUGUGAGUUGAGUUUGAGUACUUAUGUUGUGUUUGGUUGGGGUGAAUGAUUUCGGAAGGAAUGGAAUGAAAAAUGAACUAUCUUAUGAAUGAUUUUUAAGAAAUUUCAUUCCUUCCUCCAUUCCAUUCCCUACAUCAUAUGCUACAUAUCACCUCUUCCAUUUGAGAUGGAAUGCUCCAUUCACUCCCAUCCUCAAUUUCUUCUCAAACCUCAUCAUAGCAAUUUUGCACUCNAAAAAUGACAAUCUUUUAUGUUGAUAUAUAACCACGCAUAUGUACAAAUCGAUACCUCUACAGGUAAUUGUAAUGUGAGAUUAGUGUAAAUUAAUAAUCUAAGAGACUAAGAUAAACUAAAUAGUAAUAAAAUUAAAUGAUUAAUACAAACUUCUUGCAUAGUUCUUGUUGCCACUUGCCAGUACUAAACAAUAUGUAAUAUAACUAUAUCAAAUUUAUAACAGAUUGUAUGCUGUCUGGUAAAUUUUUGUUGCCUCUCAGCGUGUUUUUUCCUCUUCCUAUCCAAGUAGCUAUAGUUAUUGGUCCACAAGUAUGAACAACAUUUGAAAGUCCUACAUACCAAUUUUUCAAAACAGUAUAUAAGGAUGAAUACGAACAGUUACAAAUAACAUUUAUUAAUUAAAGCUCCCACUUUUGAUUUAAAUACCC
rnacentral:lncRNA from 1 species